GAGCGAGGAAACAGGGCCAGAGAAUUGGAACAAAAUACAAGGCUGCCUCUGAAAGCUCUUCCAGGAGUCAUGUGCAUUGCCCAAGCUACCCUGCCAAGUGAUGAGAAAGAUGCGGCCUAGUGAUCCUCAUCACCCUCAACCAGUAGACAGUCAAUGCCCAGAAGCAGAGCUGCUUUAGCUCAUUUACAAGUGACCAUAGACAAGAGUGAGGCCAGCCAAGACAAGAAGAACUGACCAUUUAAGCCCAGUUCAGAUCAACAGCCUGUAGAACUGUGAGCUAAGAAUAUCUUUGUGCUGAUGUGUCCAUCAAGAGAACAUACACAGAAGUGACACUUGCCAGUAAUUUGCAAGCAGAUGGAACUUCAAUAUGGCAAUAGAGAAAGAAUCAAUUAGACCAGAGUCUCCUCAGGAAGACUUUCUAUAGAUAUCUGGUGAGCAUCUGCUAGAUGCCAGGGUUGGGGAGAGUCAAGUUGAAGCAAGCAUGAACCCUCAAGGACCUACCAUUUCAAGGCAAGAAAUAGAUACAAAUACAGCGUAAUUAUCUCUCCAAUUAAAGAGCAACCAAGGGACAACUGAACUGGAGGUUCUGCAGAAUUACAACUAAGCACGCAGCCGAGGAAUCUACUCAGCUUUGAUCUCUUAUCGCUCUGCACACACAGCCCUUUCUCUGUAAGGCUAGCUGCUCUCAGCAUCACUGUGUCUAAUCAAACGUGUCACACCUCCACUGAGAAAAUAUUUACUGGAUAGCUACUAGACAUAAGGAUGCAGAAAUGAAUUAGAAAAAUUCCUCGCCCUUGUUCAAAGCUAUGCUGGCUCUUAGAACAUCUGAGCCCCCACUGUUUCAUCUUUAGAGGAUCCCAGCUGCUGGGGUGUGAGGCCAGUGCUGGAGCCAGCAGUCUCUGACCCAGAAGGGACCUGAGGUGCUAAAGAAAAUUCUGGAGGCUGAGAAGUCCAAAACCAAGUCACCAGCAGAUUCAGCGUCUGGUAAUGGUCCACUUCUUGGUUCACAGAUGGCUAUCUUUUCACUGUGUCCUCACAUGGUGGAAGGGCCAAGGGAGCUCUAUGGGGUCUCUUCUAUAACAGCAUUAACCCCGUUCGUGAGGGCUCCAUCCUCAUGACCUGAUCACAUACCAAAGUUGUUUUCACUUCCCAAAGACCCCACCUCCAAAUACUAUCACAAUUGGGGUUAGAUUUCAACCUAUGAAUUUGUGGGGGGCACACAAUCUUUAGUCAGGGUUUGUGGGAACAAUAUGACCUUGGUCAGGUCCCUUUAUCUUUGCACCUUAUUUUCUCUUUGCCCAAAUAAAGAAUACUUGAUAUUCC
rnacentral:lncRNA from 1 species